rnacentral:rRNA from 1 species
UUAAGCACUCUAACGAGACUGCCGCGGUUAACGUGGAGGAAGGUGGGGAUGACGUCAAAUCAUCAUGCCCCUUAUGUCUAGGGCUACACACGUGCUACAAUGGCUGGUACAACGAGCAGCAAACCCGCGAGGGGGAGCAAAACUUGAAAGCCAGUCCCAGUUCGGAUUGUAGGCUGAAACUCGCCUACAUGAAGUUGGAGUUGCUAGUAAUCGCGAAUCAGCAUGUCGCGGUGAAUACGUUCCCGGGUCUUGUACACACCGCCCGUCACACCAUGAGAGCCGGUAACACCCGAAGCCCGUGAGGUAACCGUAAGGAGCCAGCGGUCGAAGGUGGGAUUGGUGAUUGGGGUGAAGUCGUAACAAGGUAGCCGUAGGAGAACCUGCGGCUGGAUCACCUCCUUUCUAGGGA